AGCAGCCGCGGUAAUUCCAGCUCCAAUAGCGUAUAUUAAAGUUGUUGCAGUUAAAAAGCUCGUAGUUGAAUUUCGGGGUUAGUAGAUUGGUCAUGCCUCUGGUAUGUACUGGUCUCACUGAUUCCUCCUUCCUGAUGAUCCGUAAUGCCAUUAAUUUGGUGUUGCGGGGAAUUUGGACUGUUACUUUGAAAAAAUUAGAGUGUUUAAGGCAAGCUAACGCUUGAGUACAUUAGCAUGGAAUAAUGAAAUAGGACGUUCGAUCCUAUUUUGUUAGUUUCUAGGAUUGACGUAAUGAUUAAUAGGGAUAGUUGGGGGCAUUAGUAUUCAAUUGUCAGAGGUGAAAUUCUUGGAUUUAUUGAAGACUAACUACUGCGAAAGCAUUUGCCAAGGAUGUUUUCAUUAAUCAAGAACGAAAGUUAGGGGAUCGAAGACGAUCAGAUACCGUCGUAGUCUUAACCAUAAACUAUGCCGACUAGGGAUCGGAUGAUGUUAAUUUUUUAAUGACUCA
rnacentral:rRNA from 1 species